CCUACGGGUGGCAGCAGUGGGGGAUAUUGGACAAUGGGGGAAACCCUGAUCCAGCGACGCCGCGUGAGUGAAGAAGUGUUUCGGUGUGUAAAGCUCUGUCAGCAGGGAAGAAAGAAAUGACGGUACCUGAGUAAGAAGCCCCGGCUAACUACGUGCCAGCAGCCGCGGUAAUACGUAGGGGGCAAGCGUUAUCCGGAUUUACUGGGGGUAAAGGGGGCGUAGACGGCGGUGGAAGUCUGGAGUGAAAGGCGGGGGCUCAACCCCCGGACUGCUCGGGAAACGGUACGGCUGGAGUGCAGGAGAGGUAAGUGGAAUUCCUGGUGUAGCGGUGAAAUGCGUAGAUAUUAGGAGGAACACCAGUGGCGAAGGCGGCUUACUGGACUGUAACUGACGUUGAGGCUCGAAAGCGUGGGGAGCAAACAGGAUUAGAUACCCCAGUAGUC
rnacentral:rRNA from 1 species